UCUGUAAUUAUUCCCCAGAAGCACGUUCCCACGUGGAGAAGCGGCAGCCCUCGCGGAGGCAUUCUCUGACUCAGCAGAAAUUGCUGAAAAACGUUGUUUGCUUAUGGAUGAAAGCUGCAGCGUGCCGGCAAAGUGGCAGCAUUCAUGCCUGGCGACGGUGAGAGACGGGAUACAGGCUGGGCAGACACCUGGCUCCACGUUUCACUGUUCGCCACAAGGAAAGGAGGAACCUGAAACCUUACUAAUAGCAGCAGAUAAACAAUUCCGUAAGUGGACAAAUUUGGAGCAUGUCAGCUACUGAAAGCAGAGGAGAAAUAGAAGGAACUGCCCGUGCUGCUCUGCUGGUAGGGCUUUUGCCUGUCAAUGUGUCUGUCCGUGGAUUUUUUUUUUGUAUCCCACGGCAUACCUGUGGAACUGGAGUGAGGAGAGACACGUCCUUUGUGCAACCACAUCACGGCAGCCGGUACAGCCCAAGCCCUUGAGAGCAGCUGAGCCCGCAGCAUCCUUAGGGAUGCUGUACUGUUGUCACAGGUUUCUCCGACAGAUCCCUUGUGCCAAAUCCUGAGGAAAAAGAAGACUUCCAGUCCUGGGCAAAAGGAAGAAGACUCAAAGCAAGAGCAUCCAGAGCAACCUGCCGUGGGGUUGUUUAUCACGUGGGCAAAGCAGGCUCUGCUUUGGGGCCAGGGGGGCGUUCCUGCAUGGCAGAAGGCAGCGUGCUGGUGGGCUGCACCCGGCCAGGCAGUGCCUGGCAGCUGGCACCAGAGCAUCCUGGCACCGGGAGGCUCCCAGGAGACUUCGUACUAUUCAAGGAAUGAUCUCAGGAAGGCUAACCAACCUGGGCAGCAGAACACCUGCAGGGUGGAGGGAAGGGAAGUCUUCCCUCCCCGUGAGAUCGAGCUUGCAGGCUUGAGCAGGUGAAUGGACAGGCUGCGGUGCAAAGCCAGAUGAUUUCCUCUGCCAGACAAGGUCAAGCCCUGAGGUCAGUGGUUAAGUGACGCACACUUUGGCAUUUUUUGCAUUAAAUCCUGGGGCUCUGCGCGUGUGUGAAAUGGAGCUAAGGGCUGGGGGAAAAGGUAGUAAAAACUCUGCACUGCCAGUGCCAGCAGAAACCCUUUUCCUGCUCACCACUCUUGUAGAGACUGAUGUACCUUUCUCCUGUGGCUAUGGCGACUAUAUCUCCAGUUCCACCUGGAGAAUAUCCAGCUUCCACAGCAGGAAGGUGUUUCUGGCUGGAAGGAGUGGAUGCUCCAGUUUGCAUUGAUUUCAGCUCUCUUCACAGCUACCUCUGCAACGUCUGGGCAUGCUUUGCCAUACACAACAUGCAUUUUGCACAGUCGAUCCUUUCAUAAGCGCGGAGUUACGGACUUUCUGAAUGAAAAUGUGGAUAUGUCGAGUAAAGCAUUCCUAUAUUGUCUGACUUCCUAUGGCCUAGCAGAUAGAGCAGCGACACACUUUCAAGAAGACAACAGCUAAUUAAAGUCUGGAAG